AGUGAACGCUGGCGGUAGGCCUAACACAUGCAAGUCGAACGGCAGCACAGUAAGAGCUUGCUCUUACGGGUGGCGAGUGGCGGACGGGUGAGGAAUACAUCGGAAUCUACUUUUUCGUGGGGGAUAACGUAGGGAAACUUACGCUAAUACCGCAUACGACCUACGGGUGAAAGCAGGGGAUCUUCGGACCUUGCGCGAGUGAAUGAGCCGAUGUCGGAUGAGCUAGUUGGCGGGGUAACGGCCCACCAAGGCGACGAUCCGUAGCUGGUCUGAGAGGAUGAUCAGCCACACUGGAACUGAGACACGGUCCAGACUCCUACGGGAGGCAGCAGUGGGGAAUAUUGGACAAUGGGCGCAAGCCUGAUCCAGCCAUACCGCGUGGGUGAAGAAGGCCUUCGGGUUGUAAAGCCCUUUUGUUGGGAAAGAAAAGCAGCAGGUUAAUACCCCGCUGUUCUGACGGUACCCAAAGAAUAAGCACCGGCUAACUUCGUG
rnacentral:rRNA from 1 species